rnacentral:lncRNA from 13 species
GUACAGUUAGGCUGCUGCUGUUUCCCAUGAAACUCAGACAGGAAAACAUACACUAGUGUAUGUAAUACAUCACAAUAACUAUAAUGCUGAGGUGACAGUACUGUUCAGAUCUAUAUAAUUAUACAGUAUAACACAUGCCUAGCCAUAAUCACGUCAUUUACACGUUCAUAUUCAAAUUAUUAUAUUACCUCAGAACAGAACUUGAGAGGAAAAUACAAAAUGGUCAUAUUUAUUACAUUGACUUGAUGAGAACCGAUACAUGGUGAAAAAGAGAUGGUUACAUUCAGAGAGCUACAGUAAGAACAGACAGAGAUGGCUACAUUCAGAGAGCUACAAUAAGAACAGACAGAGAUGGCUACAUUCAGAGAGCUACAGUAAGAACAGACAGAGCCCCAUCUUUACUCUCUCAUAGCACACAAAAUACCAUGCUGGAAGUCAACAUAGUAUCCCACUGAUUUUUUAGGGUGGAUAAACCCAAACCACAAACCAUUUAAAUCUGUGGUAGUUAAUUACAGGUUAGUGUGUACACACACACACACACACACACACACACACACACACACACACACACACACACACACACACACACACUGAGUGUACAAAACCCUAAGAACACCCCCUCCUCCCCUUUAGCCUCAGAACAGCCUUAAUUCGUCGGGAAAUGGACUCUACAAGGUGUCGAAAGCAUUGGCUGGAUGUCCUUUGGGUGGUGGACCAUUCUUGAUACACGGGAAACUGUUGAGAGUGAAAAACCCAGCAGCAUUGCAGUUCUUGACACAAACCAGUGCGCCUGACACUCACUACCGGGGGUUUCAGGAACUUCAAUCUGUUGUCUUGCCCGUUCACCCUCUGAAUGGCACACAUACACAAUCCAUGUCUCAGUUGUCUCAAGUCCUAAAAAUCCUUAUUUAACCUGUCUCCUACCCUUCAUCUAUACUGAUUGAAGUGGAUUUAACAAGUGACAUCAACAAGGGAUCAUAGCUUUCACCUGGAUUCACCUGGUCAGUGUAUGUCAUGGACAGAGCAGGUGUUCCUAAUGUUUUGUCCCCUCAGUGUAUACUGAGCCCUCCAGUGUGUGGUAAUUCAAUAAACCAGUGGCCCACUAACUAAUAAUAUCUACGGUCUGGAGAUCAGGCUACUGGGAAUAGGGGCGUGUGUGUGUGUGUGUGUGUGUGUGUGUGUGUGUGUGUGUGAGAGAGAGAG